CAGCUCCGUUGGAGGAAUGCUGCUGGCAUUCGGGUAGGUCUGAGGUUAUCUGGGAAAAGGACAGCUCGGCUGGGGACCAAGACAAAGGUAUGGUGGCAGAUGGAAUCCUGGGAGGGAUGCGGAUUGAAGAGGAAGCCAGGCCCGGCCUGCUAAGGGUCAUUCCUGGACCUGGUGGAAUGUGGCUAAGACACAGGAAAUAAGGAAAGCCAAAUGUUGCAGGCCUCAACCUGGAGACCCAUUUCUAUCCCUUCUUAAAGCCUGGGUGCGGUGACUAUUAAAUGAGUGUCGCACAGACUGAUUCCAUGUCCUUCAUUGUUAGGAACCUGGAAGUGGGCCCAGAGAGGUGAAGGAGCUACCCAGCGUCACACAGCUAGCAAGUGCUGUCACUCAGACUUCCAACCCAACUAUGACCUCAUAUCCCUAAAGCCUGUACCUUGCCCUGCCUCUGGACUCAAAAGCAGAGCUAAACCAAGCUCAGCAGAAACAAAAGGUUCAAUUCUCCCAACAUCAAAUGCAACACCUGAGCUUUCUUUCAGGAGGUCCACCCCUUGAGAUGCCCCUUGCGCUUUACCCAAAGGAACUGAGUGAAACUUUACAUUAGACUCAUCCAGCCCCCCUCAGUACUGACUGGGGCCCAGAGAAAGCGCCCCUCCCCCUAGGAACCUCCAGCAAGGAGAUUCCGCUUGACCAUCUCUAAAAUGCUCUCUAAAAUGCGCCUUUUACAUUUCUUGAAAUCUGUGGUUCUCAGCCAGGGGCGAUUUUGCCCACCACCUGGGGGAGCAGGGUGGGGGUCUUUGGCAAUGUCUGGAGAGUUUUAGACUGCCACCACUGCGAUGGGGGCAGAUCCAGCAUGUAGUGGGAGGUCAGGGAUACUGCGGAAUACCUAGCGUCCACGGGAGAGCCCCCACACAACUAGGAAUUAUCGGAUCCAAAAGGCCCAUUGUGCUGGGGCUGGGAAUCCUUGGCUUAAAUGAAAGGGACACCAUUUGCCUCUGGAUGAAAAAGCCAGCACAGGCCUAAACAAGUAGGUUCCUUGGUGAUAUUAAUAAGCAAUGAGCU
rnacentral:lncRNA from 1 species